rnacentral:sRNA from 1 species
AGUUGAUGUAACAAAAUUAGUAUGAUUCAAAAAUAGAAAUCCAGAUAACCACAGAAGGGAUUCUCUGAAAAUUUAUAAUUAAAAGAUAAUGGAGAGAGGAAUGUAAAAUAUAAUUCAGUGUUUUAGAAAAUAGAACCAGCAGAAUAUUUAUAGACCACCAUGAAUCCUAUGAAAGAUAGUAUAUAAUUUUAUUAAUUUCUUCCAAAGUUUGUGACCAAAGUCCCUAAUCCAUCAUCCACUUAAUGAGCUAUGUUCAGCCUAGCAUAGUGCUUUCUUGAUGUAUGGCUGAAAGCGGGUCUUUUUUGUCCAGCCACUGAGCUAUAAACUUCACAGAUACAGGCAUCAAGACCAGCAUAAUCUUUUGUCAAACUUGUCCCUCAGGAUUUGUAUGUUGAUCAUAGAUAAAAGUAGAACCAAAAAAAAUAAACACACUGUGCUCAUUAACCCUCCUAUGAUUAUGAUGUCACAGUAACCCGCAGAUCUUAACAGUUUAGGAAAGAAAUCCAGGCCUUAGUGCUUAGUCACGCAGUGUGACAACAUCAGCCUUGAUCCUUGUCUUCAUUUGUGAUCCCAGCCAAAGGAAGAGCCCUUAUCUAAGGCAGUCGCCUCUUGGCAAAUCACUCUUGGAAGAGUUAUUACAAAACAAUGGGUCUUAAAUCAUCUAUUCCAAAAUAGCACAGGCCACUGCUUAUUUCAUUGGCCAAAACAUGUUAAACAGCCCAUACCAGUAUCAAUGCUGUAAUGAAUAAUACCCUCCAGCAGAGACAGGCCAUCAGGGUGGUCUGAGAUGAACGAGACUGGAGCAGGAGAGCCUGAUCAUCUUAAAUAAACACAGUAAUCCACCACAGAGAUCAACAUGGAGCAAGCAGUUGGAAGAUAUGGACUGAAACAGAGAGAAGAAUUCUCACAAGUCAGUGUUUAUUAAAAAGCUCCUGCUUUCCGACCU